rnacentral:rRNA from 1 species
CCCUUAGACGUUCUGGGCCGCACGCGCGCUACACUGACACAGGCAACGAGCUUUCCUUUACCGAAAGGUAUGGGUAAUCUUUUGAAACUGUGUCGUGCUGGGGAUAGAUCCUUGCAAUUUUUGAUCUUAAACGAGGAAUUCCUAGUAAGCGCGAGUCAUCAACUCGCGUUGAUUACGUCCCUGCCCUUUGUACACCCCGCCCGUCGCUACUACCGAUUGAAUGGCUUAGUGAGGCCUCAGGAUCCGCGCUUAAUGUGUGGAGAAUUUGGACAAACUACGUCAUUUAGAGGAAGUAAAAGUCGUAACA